rnacentral:rRNA from 1 species
AUCGAACGCUGGCGGCAGGCUUAACACAUGCAAGUCGAACGGGCAUCUUCGGAUGUCAGCGGCAGACGGGUGAGUAACACGGGGGAACGUACCCUUCGGUUCGGAACAACUCUGGGAAACGGGAGCUAAUACCGGAUACGCCCUUAUGGGGAAAGGGUUACUGCGGAAGGAUCGGCCCGCGUGUGCUUAGCCAGUUGGGGGGGUAACGGCCUACCAAGUCGACGAUCAGUAGCCGGUCUGAGAGGAUGAUCAGUCACACUGGGACUGAGAAACGGCCCAGAAUAUUGCGGGAGGGAGCAGUGGGGAAUAUUGGAAAAUGGGCGCAAGCCUGAUGCAGCCAUGACGCGUGAGUGAUGAAGGCCUUAGGGUUGUAAAGCUCUUUUGUCCGGGACGAUAAUGACGGUACCGGAAGAAUAAGCCCCGGCUAACUUCGUG